UUUCCUCUUUCCCUCAUCAGGUGAAAAAAUAUCUUUCUUAUCAGCUUAAUAUCUGCUAUGUCAUGCAUCACAGGACUACAAUAUUAAACUCAUUUUUGUACAAUAAUGAAGGUGCUAAGAGCAUGCUCUACCUCUGUCACAGGAUGCCUGCUCACUAUCGAACUCUCUUAAUGUAUCCAAACGCUU